AUACGUAGGGUGCAAGCGUUAAUCGGAAUUACUGGGCGUAAAGCGUGCGCAGGCGGUUUUGUAAGGCAACGGUGAAAUCCCCCGGCUCAACCUGGGGAUUGCCUUUGUUACUGUAAGUCUUGAGUACCGCCGAGGGGGACGGACUUUCGUCUUUAGUAGUGAAAUGCGUAGAUAUGCGGAGGAACACCGAUGGCGAAGGCAAUCCCCUGGGCCUGUACUGACGCUCAUGCACGAAAGCGUGGGGAGCAAACAGGAUUAGAUACCCUGGUAGUCCACGCCCUAAACGAUGUCAACUGGUUGUUGGGUCUUCAUUGACUCAGUAACGAAGCUAACGCGUGAAGUUGACCGCCUGGGGAGUACGGCCGCAAGGUUGAAACUCAAAUGAAUUGACGGGG
rnacentral:rRNA from 1 species